rnacentral:sRNA from 1 species
AAAGAGAAAGGGAAAGGAGCAAGCCAGGAAGCCAGACAACAAGAGCAUCAAAACAAGGCUGUUUCUGUGUGUGAGGAACUUUGCCUUGGAGAUAAAAUUAGACCUAGAGCUUGCUGACAGGGAGUCUGAAGCGUGGGACAUGGACCGUUCACUGGGAUGGCAAGGGAAUUCUGUCCCUGAGGACAGGACUGAAGCUGGGAUCAAGCGUUUCCUGGAGGACACCACGGAUGAUGGAGAACUGAGCAAGUUCGUGAAGGAUUUCUCAGGAAAUGAGAGCUGCCACCCACCAGAGGCUAAGACCCGGGCAUCCAGGCCCCAAGUCCCGGAGCCAAGGCCCCAGGCCCCGGACCUCUAUGAUGAUGACCUGGAGUUCAGACCCCCCUCGUGGCCCCAGUCCUCUGACAACCAGCAGUACUUCUGUGCCCCAGCCCCUCUCAGCCCAUCUGCCAGGCCCCGCAGCCCAUGGGGCAAGCUUGAUCCCUAUGAUUCCUCUGAGGAUGACAAGGAGUAUGUGGGCUUUGCAACCCUUCCCAACCAAGUCCACCGAAAGUCCGUGAAGAAAGGCUUUGACUUUACCCUCAUGGUGGCAGGAGAGUCUGGCCUGGGCAAAUCCACACUUGUCAAUAGCCUCUUCCUCACUGAUCUGUACCGGGACCGGAAACUCCUUGGUGCUGAAGAGCGGAUCAUGCAAACUGUGGAGAUCACUAAGCAUGCAGUGGACAUAGAAGAGAAGGGUGUGAGGCUGCGGCUCACCAUUGUGGACACACCAGGUUUUGGGGAUGCAGUCAACAACACAGAGUGCUGGAAGCCUGUGGCAGAAUACAUUGAUCAGCAGUUUGAGCAGUAUUUCCGAGAUGAGAGUGGCCUGAACCGAAAGAACAUCCAAGACAACAGGGUGCACUGCUGCCUGUACUUCAUCUCACCCUUCGGCCAUGGGCUCCGGCCAUUGGAUGUUGAAUUCAUGAAGGCCCUGCAUCAGCGGGUCAACAUCGUGCCUAUCCUGGCUAAGGCAGACACACUGACACCUCCUGAAGUGGACCGCAAGAAGCGCAAAAUCCGGGAGGAGAUUGAGCAUUUUGGAAUCAAGAUCUAUCAGUUCCCAGACUGUGACUCUGAUGAGGAUGAGGACUUCAAAUUGCAGGACCAAGCCCUAAAGGAAAGCAUCCCAUUUGCAGUAAUUGGCAGCAACACUGUAGUAGAGGCCAGAGGGCGGCGAGUUCGGGGUCGACUCUACCCCUGGGGCAUCGUGGAAGUGGAAAACCCAGGGCACUGCGACUUUGUGAAGCUGAGGACAAUGCUGGUACGUACCCACAUGCAGGACCUGAAGGAUGUGACGCGGGAGACACACUAUGAGAACUACCGGGCACAGUGCAUCCAGAGCAUGACCCGCCUGGUGGUGAAGGAACGGAAUCGCAAGUAUGACCAGAAGCCAGGACAAAGCUGGCAGGGGGAGAUCCCAAGCCUAGCCUUGGGUGAGACCAAGCCCUACUUUUGUUCUUCUAUAGGCCCUGGGCUCAAUCUAAGCGGGUGCUGGGGUCCUCCUCGCCUUAUCAACCCUUUUCUCCCUUUAGCAAACUGACUCGGGAAAGUGGUACCGACUUCCCCAUCCCUGCUGUCCCACCAGGGACAGAUCCAGAAACUGAGAAGCUUAUCCGAGAGAAAGAUGAGGAGCUGCGGCGGAUGCAGGAGAUGCUACACAAAAUACAAAAACAGAUGAAGGAGACCUAUUAA